UGCUCAAAGCAAAAAAAAAAGCAGUCGCCGAUGAAACGGUGCCGUUUCGAAUCAUGCAAAGAUGAUGGAUUUUAGAGAUGUUGCUGCUGAAGAGCAAAUCAGGGGUUUUGUGGAGUACUUUGACAAGGUAAAUUACCCGCUACAACCGUUCAGUACCGAAACAAAGGCCUUCUUUGGAAGAUUCUUUGGAGGCAAUGGCUUCGUAACGUUCUGCGAUCUGCUUUUUGGUUCCUAUUGCGAGAAGUACCUCGCAGAGGAUGAGGAGAUGUGCUGGAUGGAUUACGCGAAUCUUGAGCCGACCAAGAGCUUAGCGGUGACGCUUCUGAGCCUGAUUCAUCCGAGCUCUACUUUCAUAUCCACCUUGGAGGCGCUUUCGACCCCAUCGGCUACAUUCGGUGCCCGUCUGAAGAAGGGGUGGAAAAACUCAACCGCUGCGCGGUCUUCCUCAUUUUACUUGCUUGACUUGCCCCUCGUAGUCUUGCACCCACAGUUUUUCAAACUAAUGGGCGAGCCCGCGGAUUCGAAUCUGUACGCACUGCCUCGCUCUCGCUGCCAUCCCAUCUUGCUUGUGCCAUUUUGGGACCCGCCGGUAGUCACGCGAAAAGAGUCCAGCCAGCAGCAAGUAAUGACGUCACUGCCAUGCCUGCCGAUGGGCUAUUUUCUGUUCCGUCUUCUACUGUUCGGCAUGAAAAGGGCUCAGCGAAACAGCGCUGACUUUCUUGCGUGGCGAAAAAAAACAAAUAUCGUUGCCUGGAUGUGGAGAGCAAAGGAUGGAUUGUAUUCUGCAUUCUACAAGACGAUCCCUGUCGACAUGCCCUUCUACGCGCAGCUACUGCAAUCAUAUAUUCAGAUAUACGUUUCGGCAACUCUUUCCCGUCACCUUAGCAGCAAAAGAAGCAUUGCAGACAUAAAUUGGACCACUAAUGACGCUACUGCUUCAGUUUUGAUUUUGGCGCCGGAGCUGCUGGCACAUAGGGAGCUGCUGCAACCAGUUGGCGAAAACGAUAGGGUUUCAUGCAAAAAUCCAGAGACUCUCGCGCAGAUUCUUUUCGUGGUGCCGCUCUACACUCGCAUGGUCUACGCAAUGUCAGAAGAGAGCACUAGCUCUCCAUUCAUGGACUGCUCAGCAAUCACUCCAUCGGAUUACUCAGUAAGCUCUUUAUCCAAAGCACAGGCUGAUAUUGAGAACAUUCGCAAAACGCUUUACAGGAAUUGUCUGACGGUUCUGCGCGAGUGCCUUUUGUCUUUGGAACUAGAGCCAUACUGUAAAAAUUCUCACUUCACGUAUUGCCUUGAGCUGUGGGCGGUGCUUAUGAACCCUUUUGAGAAGCAGCAGCAGAUGGCCCCGCCGCAAUACGUAGCGCAACACUUCGAGUCCUUUGGCUUUCUCGCAGUUGAUGUGUUGAACAUGAUCGUGAAAAGCUCUUUUGUUUACUCAAUGACGGAUGCUGGGGCAAAGGUCCUGAAAAAGUGUUUUCUACUGUUGAGUCAGGACCCCGUGGUAACCCUUCUUGCAGAAAUCAACGCAUCGCAGCCGCCAUCGCAUACAGUUGCUGAGAUGCUAGCCCGUCAUUUUGUUUUGGAUUGGAUAGGCAGUGAUGGUGGUAUUCAGCUGCCGAAUCUACACGGCAACACGACUUGCAGCCUUGCUGCUCGAGCAUAUGUUUCCCUGGAACGAUUAAUCAACGACGACACGACGGAGGUGAUGCGAAGCGAGUUGAAAGAGACACUUAGUUUGAUGGAGUGCGUCUUUCCGCGAAUCACACAGUUUUUGGAUACGUGGCGAGCCUCAGAGACGGCCACACCUAAGAAUUUCAAAUCUGCUUCGGUGCCCACUAUGACAGUUGUUCGACCGCUCACAGAGAGUGAGAAGCUACAUUUUUUUAGAGGUGGCAAAGGAAAUCAGAAAGUUUUUGCAAAAGGCUUGCGUCUACCGAUUCGAAACGGACGCGUGCCUGGAAAUCGUGACGCAGCGUUGAAAACGAGCCUGCGCAACGAAAUACCGGCGCUGCUAGGUUUCUCCAGGUUCUUGGAUGCUCUCAUCGCAAAGAGUUUGGAAGAAUACUACUCGAGCGUAAUCCCUAAGUGCGAUCAUGGGCACAACUUGUGGCUUACUUACUCCAAGAAUUACGCUUGCACGCACCACGCGUGCGAGCCAGCAAUUUGGGAGUGCAGUAUUUGUGAAAAAGUCUAUGGCAGCUGUUGCAGAGGGCUUCCUUGUCGGGCGAACGGAGAGCGGCUUGUCACGUGCAGUGGAGCAAGCAGUGCAGCGCAGCAGUGCAUCGUGUGUGGCCAAGUGGUUUCGGAAGACAGCAACAUGUUUUGCCUGCAGCACGGAACCGGGGGCUAUUUUUGUCCAGAUUGCGCCUCUCGUCCUUUCAGUCCUCUGUCGAUGCGCUGGAUUGCGUCGUACCGAACUUGGGCUGUGGUGGUCGGACUCUUUUUUCUGUCCAUUUUCAUAAGCUUCCUAGCUUGAAGUUUUGCUGUCACCCCGACGUUUGUGUAAGGCGCUAAGAAGAUCAUACGAAGGCUUGUAUUCUGCUUUUGAGAAAGGUGGCCGACUUUUUUGUGGUGCCAGCGGAUGUGUCUAGUUUUGUGUCUUCCAAAUGUGAGUUACCGUAAUUUACCCAAAUACACCAGUCAGCAGUUAGUGUUGUGAGUGGCACUUGGAGCCACCAUUUUUUUCUUUUUCAGUUAAAGAAAAAAGUGAAACUCUGGAAAACAAAACAGAAAAUGAUAUGCGAAGUCCGCAGACAAAGGCCAGCACCUUUACUUGCUACACCGGGGAAAGCUAGACAGUUUGAUGUCAGUGCGCGAAGGAAAAAAAAAAACACAUGCUGAUGGGCGGCUCUACAGCUUUAGAGGUUCGGAGCAUAUUGCGGGUCAGAAAAUUCUUAUCGAAAUGAUAUUGUGCGCUUCUCGUGAGUGUCUUCACCUUUUUGU
rnacentral:misc_RNA from 1 species